rnacentral:misc_RNA from 1 species
AUAACGUGGUGCACUUUCACUGUGCGCCCUUUUGAUUGUCCUUUGCAGAUUUCAAACAGGAAGUUGCAGAAUUUGUGGCGGUAAUUGACAUCAUAUGUGUUGUGUGCACAUAACUGCAUCAUCGGCGUAUUUUGAAUCUGUCUUGUCAGCAAUGGAAGUUAAGCGAUUUGAGUAAUUUUUACAUCUUUCAGGAGUUAAUCAGUUGUAUGCCAGCUAUACAAUGGAUGACAAGACAUCUCAUUUUCAGCAUAUGGCUGGCACUGAUAGUGUUCAAGAACCACGUAUAUGGUCGUCUCCUGAAGGAGGGCGUCCAAUCGAAAUGGGAAAACAGAUCUUCUGCAACAGAUCACUGAAUAUGAGAAAUAUUUUAGCUGUAGGCUUUGAU